CAGCCGCCGCGGUAAUACGUAGGUGGCAAGCGUUGUCCGGAAUUAUUGGGCGUAAAGGGCUCGCAGGCGGUUUCUUAAGUCUGAUGUGAAAGCCCCCGGCUCAACCGGGGAGGGUCAUUGGAAACUGGGAAACUAGAGUGCAGAAGAGGAGAGUGGAAUUCCACGUGUAGCGGUGAAAUGCGUAGAGAUGUGGAGGAACACCAGUGGCGAAGGCGACUCUCUGGUCUGUAACUGACGCUGAGGAGCGAAAGCGUGGGGAGCGAACAGGAUUAGAGACCCCCGUAGUCCCUGUCUCUUAUAC
rnacentral:rRNA from 1 species